UACAGAGGCCCCGAGCGUUAUCCGGAAUAACUGGGCGUAAAGCGUCUGUAGGCGGGAUAGCACGUCUGCCGUAAAAUCAGUGGGCUCAACCCACUGCCCGCGGUGGAUACGGCUAUUCUUGAGGCAGGGAGAGGUCAGUGGAACUUCUGGUGGAGCAGUGAAAUGCGUUGAUAUCAGAGGGAACACCAAUUGCGAAGGCAGCUGACUGGUCCUGUCCUGACGCUCAGAGACGACAGCGUGGGGAGCGAAGCGG
rnacentral:misc_RNA from 1 species